rnacentral:rRNA from 1 species
GACGAACGCUGGCGGCGUGCUUAAUACAUGCAAGUCGAGCGGACCCAGCAGAUUGUCUCUGGUUUCCAGAGACAAACUGCGACGGUUAGCGGCGAACGGGUGAGUAACGCGUGGGUAAUCUGCCCCCAAGACCGGGAUAACAGUGCGAAAGCGCUGCUAAUACCGGAUAAUCUCUUCUUGUCGCAUGAUAGGGAGAGCAAAGCUCCGGCGCUUGGGGAUGAGCCCGCGUUCCAUUAGCUAGUUGGUGAGGUAACGGCUCACCAAGGCGACGAUGGAUAGCCGGCCUGAGAGGGUGACCGGCCACACUGGGACUGAGACACGGCCCAGACUCCUACGGGAGGCAGCAGUAGGGAAUUUUCGGCAAUGGGGGAAACCCUGACCGAGCAACGCCGCGUGGGGGAAGAAGGCCUUCGGGUCGUAAACCUCUGUCUUUGGGGACGAUAAUGACGGUACCCGAGGAGGAAGCCCCGGCUAACUACGUG